CGUUAAUCGGAAUUACUGGGCGUAAAGUGUGCGCAGGCGGCCGAGCAAGUCGAGUGUGAAAGCCCCGAGCUUAACUUGGGAACUGCGCUCGAAACUACUUGGCUAGAGUGUGGCAGAGGGAGGUGGAAUUCCACGUGUAGCGGUGAAAUGCGUAGAGAUGUGGAGGAACACCGAUGGCGAAGGCAGCCUCCUGGGCCAACACUGACGCUCAUGCACGAAAGCGUGGGGAGCAAACAGG
rnacentral:rRNA from 1 species